UACGGAGGGGGCAAGCGUUGUUCGGAAUCACUGGGUGUAAAGGGUGCGUAGGCGGUCCGUUAAGUCUGAUGUGAAAGCCCUGGGCUCAACUCAGGAAUUGCAUUGGAAACUGGCGGGCUGGAGUACGGGAGAGGGAAGCGGAAUUCCUGGCGUAGCGGUGAAAUGCGUAGAUACCAGGAGGAACACCGGUGGCGAAGGCGGUUUCCUGGCCCAGUACUGACGCUGAGGCACGAAAGCGUGGGGAGCGAACGGG
rnacentral:rRNA from 1 species